CUCAAAAGAAGCAGAGGGGGCUUAGUGGUGGGGUGACUGCGUACCUUUUGUAUAAUGGGUCAGCGACUUAUAUUCUGUAGCAAGGUUAACCGAAUAGGGGAGCCGGAGGGAAACCGAGUCUUAACCGGGCGUUAAGUUGCAGGGUAUAGACCCGAAACCCGGUGAUCUAGCCAUGGGCAGGUUGAAGGUUGGGUAACACUAACUGGAGGACCGAACCGACUAAUGUUGAAAAAUUAGCGGAUGACCUGUGGCUGGGGGUGAAAGGCCAAUCAAACCGGGAGAUAGCUGGUUCUCCCCGAAAGCUAUUUAGGUAGCGCCUCGUGAACUCAUCUCCGGGGGUAGAGCACUGUUUCGGCUAGGGGGCCAUCCCGGCUUACCAACCCGAUGCAAACUGCGAAUACCGGAGAAUGUUAUCACGGGAGACACACGGCGGGUGCUAACGUCCGUCGUGAAGAGGGAAACAACCCAGACCGCCAGCUAAGGUCCCAAAGUCAUGGUUAAGUGGGAAACGAUGUGGGAAGGCCCAGACAGCCAGGAUGUUGGCUUAGAAGCAGCCAUCAUUUAAAGAAAGCGUAAUAGCUCACUGGUCGAGUCGGCCUGCGCGGAAGAUGUAACGGGGCUAAACCAUGCACCGAAGCUGCGGCAGCGAACGUAUCACCCAAGACAACUUUACGGAGUUGACGAUUGACGGAGCGAAGCGACGUCAAAGCGUUCAUUAAAGUCGAGUUGGCUUAGGGAUACGUUCGUUGGGUAGGGGAGCGUUCUGUAAGCCUGUGAAGGUGGCCUGUGAGGGUUGCUGGAGGUAUCAGAAGUGCGAAUGCUGACAUAAGUAACGAUAAUGCGGGUGAAAAACCCGCACGCCGGAAGACCAAGGGUUCCUGUCCAACGUUAAUCGGGGCAGGGUGAGUCGACCCCUAAGGCGAGGCCGAAAGGCGUAGUCGAUGGGAAACAGGUUAAUAUUCCUGUACUUGGUGUUACUGCGAAGGGGGGACGGAGAAGGCUAUGUUAGCCGGGCGACGGUUGUCCCGGUUUAAGCAUGUAGGCGGAGGUUCCAGGUAAAUCCGGUACCUUAUUAACGCUGAGGUGUGAUGACGAGGCACUACGGUGCUGAAGUAACAAAUGCCCUGCUUCCAGGAAAAGCCUCUAAGCAUCAGGUAACAUCAAAUCGUACCCCAAACCGACACAGGUGGUCAGGUAGAGAAUACCAAGGCGCUUGAGAGAACUCGGGUGAAGGAACUAGGCAAAAUGGUGCCGUAACUUCGGGAGAAGGCACGCUGACACGUAGGUGAAGUGAUUUACUCAUGGAGCUGAAGUCAGUCGAAGAUACCAGCUGGCUGCAACUGUUUAUUAAAAACACAGCACUGUGCAAACACGAAAGUGGACGUAUACGGUGUGACGCCUGCCCGGUGCCGGAAGGUUAAUUGAUGGGGUCAGCGCAAGCGAAGCUCCUGAUCGAAGCCCCGGUAAACGGCGGCCGU
rnacentral:rRNA from 1 species